CGGGACUGGGAGCCUCCCAGGUGCUACAUCCGCAUCAUCAGCCUCAGGCCUCCCUUGGGGCCUCUCCCUUCAAACCACAGCAUCCUCAUCCCACCCCACCCCCAGGUAGGAUGCUGGUCGCUCAGCCUGGAGAGACCUUUUUAAUUUGAGGAUAAACAGACUGUCAUCCUGGCUCGGCCCUCUGUGGGCUUGCUGCUCCCCGCCCCCCUCAAUCCGCAGUGCACAGCCGCUCUGUUCUCCUGCCAACUUGGCAGCUCGUUGCUGCUGUUACUAUCAACACCUCUGAGGGAAAAAGGAGAGGAGUCGGUUCUGAUCGCCUAGUGCACUGAGCAACACAUUCAUACCGAGCCUGAGCACUCUGGAAUGUUUCCCGAGCUCCGAAGACUCCGGGUGGGGCAAGAAAGGUGGGAUCUGUGUUGCAGAGAACAGAUGGGCCGGAAAUCAGCCUGAGCUCGGAUCCGAUCAGCCCCAGUAGGAGCAGCGCUUUAGCAGAGAGACUGAAACCAGUCGAGGACACACACAAACCCGCCCCUCCUCCCCACCUCCCACCCCCGCCCCUGCUCCCCACCUCAGGGAGUACUGGGAGGGAAUAAGAAGAGCUGCUGAAGGUUGUGGCUGGAGCCUCAGAGGUACAGGACCGGAAUAUCGGUAAAUGGAUCUUGCUGUUACCUCAUCUCUUGUCACAGUCCAAAUAACAUGGAUGGCUUCAGUUCAAGAGAUGGUAGAUCAGGGUUUUGUGGUGUGGGUAGGAAAAUGCUUUUGGGAUUUUGUUUAGGGAUGUAUGAAGAACUGGGUCUUUUUCUUUCACCAUCCUUGGACUCCAUGUCUCCUUUACCAGUUCAGACCGGGUGCUAGAAUGAGCACACUUUCUUUACCGGUUGAAAGCUUCCAGGGUCAGCCUUUUCCUUUACCCAAACCCACUCAGAGCCACUCAGGCCCAGCCCUCUGACUUCCCCAAGCUGCUAGUUAGUGCCUUUCUCAGCCGUGGGUUAGGACUCCCAGGGAGGAGGGGCUGUUGGGAAGAACAAAGAAUAUCUUCAGAGACAGAAAGCCCACUCUAAAGCAAAGGCCUGCUGAUAACUCCAGUCACUCAGUCACUCCUGACAGGAUCAAGAGGUGUUCAUUGUGCUGCUUUCCCCGGAGGAAUGCCUCUCCAGCCCUCUCCCUGGUAGCUAAGGUAAAGCCUGAACUUCCUGACUUUAGUCUCAGCCACAAGGGCUGGCUUGGGACUAGCUCCUGAAUUCCAUACCAGUGGUCUGCCCAACCCACCCGAAAAUGUGGUCCUGGUUCCUAGUCGGGUGUGUGUGGGGAGGGACGAUCAUCAGCCUGUUCGCUUUUCUAUAACACAGAGAAGUCAGGCACCUCAAUGGGCUGCAGACUACAGAAUGAAGACCUAAAACUGAGGCUUGUAUACAACUGGAAUGUGCCCUCCUUUUCUAUGCUGCUCUCCCUCUACCCUCCCUAGAAGCCCUUUUUCAGAUGUGAAACUGAUACCAAGAUUAUUUCCAGCCCUGGGAAUCUGAACCCUCUCACCUUCCUGGUAAGAACUACCCAGCUACCCAAGAAAACCUUCAGACUAUCUCAGGGCCUGAGAACAGGAAAGAGGACUCAGUCAGCAGGCUGGAAUUGAAAUAAGCCAUGAGAGGCUGUGCCAUUCCGGGCUGCACCUGUGAGCAGCCCCUCCAAUGAAGCCCUGUCAGCGUUUCCAUGACAAACUCAUAUUUCCGGAUGCUUCUCUUCCAGCUUGAAGAGCUUGUCUCUCGGCGAGGCUUGAUACUGAAAGUGCAUUCAGAUUUUCACACCCCCCCCCAAAAAAAGAUUGUACACCCCAUAAAAACUUACAACCUGGGGUUGGGGAUUUAGCUCAGUGGUAGAGUGCUUACCUAGGAAGCGCAAGGCCCUGGGUUCGGUCCCCAGCUCCGAAAAAAAGAACCAAAAAAAAAAAAAAAAAAAAAAAAAAAAAACCCUUACAUCCUCCUUGUAUGUAUUUGCUCUUUAUUUUGAGUUUGAUGGCAUAACCUUUGUUCUGGUGAAAAUAAGCAACACACACAGAGGAAGACUCGAGGAGAACCGCUAACGACUACAUGGGGCCAGCACACAGUGUGUAAGACCUCUCUUUGCAAGAGAUCCUCUGCUUCCAUUUGCUUAUCUCAAAGCCAAAAGUGAUUUCUACUUUUGAGUUUGAAGGACUCCCCAGCUCCAGGUGUCCAUUGGCCUCUAACAGAGGCUGACUCCAGAAGGUCACCAGCUCCCAGCUGGCAAUGGAUGAGUGGAAGGAUUUUGAGGUACCUCGAAGGUCAGUGGAAGGGCAGAAAGGGCCUUUCAGUAGGAGCUUUUCACCGGCUCGACGUUGCUACUCUCCAGUACAUUAGCAUCACAAGAUCGAAACAGAAAACUCGGGUAUAUCCCAAAGUGGGAAGAAAAUGAUGUCAUAAACUGGGAGCGAGAUGUGGGCCGAGCUAUGUGGAGGCCUGAGACGAGAGAUGUGUCGUGGCCGCAAUCGCAAGGAUUAAGAAAGUUGGUCCAGUAUGGCCGUGCACCCCUUCCAUCCCAGCACUUGAAGGGCAGAGGCGGGUGAUUCUUAGUAAGUUCAAGACCAGCCUGGUCUACACAGUGAGCUCCAGGACAGCCAGGGCUAGGUAGAUACCCUGUCUCAGGGGAAAAAAAAAAACACCAAAAAACAAAAAAAACAAGAGAAAGAGACUGAGACUUGCCCUAGAAGACUGCAGAAUUGCUGGGCAGGAGGUAGUCUGACAGAUUGGCAGUGAUAGUUAACCAAAGAGAUGCAGUUCCUCUCCAGGAGACUUCUCCACAGGCUGCCUAGUGUGUCCUUAUGACUGGCUCCUCUGGAGCUUCAGUCCAAGAGGGAGAACUGAGCGGACCAUAUAGAUUCUUCGUUGACCUGCUCAGAACUCGAAAUUCAUUACCUGGCUACACUUUGCAUUUAGGAGCAGGUCACCAAGUCCACUCGACCUCCCAGAGAGUAGACUGUGACUUCUGAAGGGAGGACUGCCCAGGGGAUUGAGUGAGUGAGUGCUCCACCCCAGAUUCGCAUGUCAAAGCCCUAACUCACGCUGUGGCUGCACUUGGAGAGAUGCUUCUAAAGUAGUAAUCAUAUAGGCUCACGUAACCCAGGCUGGCCUCGUCUUGUGUAACUGGGAUGAGGCUGAAGUUCCUGGCCUCUUGGCUUCAGCUUCCUAGUGUGGGUUUUAGAUCUGAGCCCCCUUGACUGGUUUAUGUGCCGUGCUGGUGUUCAAAUCUAGGGCUUCACACAUUCCAGGUAAGCACUCAACCCACUGAGCCACAACUCCAGCCCCUCAACUACUGAUAAAUGGUAAAGACGCAUUCUGAGAAAUGGGUCGGUAGGCAAUUUUAUUUUAUAAACUUAACUUGCGCAAACGAAAGAGGACUGUGACGUCACCUGAUGAUAUAACCUUAGGGGACUUCCACCCUACAUUUGGCCCAUCAUUGAUAGAAAUGUCAUUUAAUCUGCAUGACUAUAAUGAAGGUUGGAUGAGAUACUGAAGGCAAGGCUCUGCUCUGACAGGAGUCAUGUCCUCUGUGUGUGUGCGCGAACACAUAUAUGUGACAUAUGUGUUGUAUGCACACUUGUAUAGGUGGCUCUAUGUACCCCUGUGCACACAUGAGAAAAGUCAGAGGAUGGUUCUGAUGUCUUUCUCUAUUACUCUUUAUCUCUGUGUUCUUGUUUGGCUAGUUGGUUUGAGUCAUUUUAUUUUACUUUAUUUUAUUUUUUGAGAGAAAGAGAGGAUUUCUCACUGAAAUGUCUCCCUUUUGGCUGUUAGCUUAUAGAUCUAGAGCUCUACCUGGACUAUGUUAGGCUUCAAACAGGAACAAAUGGCUGAGGUCCCUAUUUAACGUAUCAAAUAGGACCUGGCCACCAGGCUGUCCCAGCAUCCCUCAGUCCCGACCUGUAACAGGGCCCUCCUAGCUGGUAUACCCCAGCCCCUAACCUCAAUUCUCCAGUUCAGGGGGCUGGGCUGCUCUUCCCUAUAUAAACCAGCCAUUCUGAUUACCCAUUCUUUGUACUUUUGGGCCUCCUGGCUGCUGCAUCUUGGCCCCCUCUCUCCCCUCUGCCUCCCCCCUACCUCUCCUCAAAUGACCUAGCUCAGUCUGGUCAUUGUCCACCUUGGACUCCCUCAGAAGUCCCUGUGCCUACCUAUGCUUUCCUUUUUCUCUGUAAUAAGCCUUCUCUUCCCCCAUACCCAAGAGCAGUAGUCAUGUUUCCCUUCGUUUUCUUUCUUUUAUUCAUUCAUUUGGUGCCGAAACCUGGAAAUGGCAUAAAUGUAAAUUCCUGACCCCAGGAACUCAGCCAUUCUGAACCAAGCAGCGGACCUGACUCUGCUAAGGUGUGCAUGGUUCACUUGUUUCCACUGGCUCCUGCCGCUCACAAAAUUUGAUUCCUAGUCCUAGAGGUUGGCCGGGUGUGGUGAUGCUCGCCUUUAAUCCCAGUAUUCCGGAGGCAGACACAGGUGAAUGUCUGUGAGUUCUAGGCCUAUCUGGUCUACAGAGAGAGUUCCAGAACAGUCAAGAACACAGAACACAGAGAGACCUUAUCUUAAAAGUAAAAAACAAACCAACCAAACUUUUGAGUCCAAUUCUUCAGCUGGUGUCCCCUCUCCCUGCUCUUUCUCCUGCUGCCUCACCUCUCCUUCUUUAGUGGAUAAAUAUCACCCCUAGCUGCCAUUUUUGCCUGCUACAAUUGCGACACAGGUGUGUCAGGAAGCUCCUUUCUCCCUCACUGGGCUCCAGUCACAAGGACCAGGGACACCUCUUUGUAAUUUGAAACAUCUUUCUCCUGGACAAAUUUACUGUUCUACUUGGGGAUGCCCCGACGGAAAUUCUUGCCACCUCUGCACUUGACACUAUCCACUUCAGCUACUCCCAUCUCUUAGCUCUGGCCUGCUACGCCCAUCUGGCUCUCUUUAGCUUUCUCUUGCCUUACAACCUGCCUGCAGUGCCACUAUGCUAUCCCUUGCUCCAGCCUGCAGUGCCACUAUGCUAUCUUUUGCUCCAUGCAGUGCCACUAUGCUAUCCCUUGCUCCAGCCUGCUUGCUUGCAUGCUCUCCACUCCUUUUUGGAGCUUCUAGAACAUACCCUCCCCUGCAUGUGCCAUUCUCUCUCUCUCUCUCUCUCUCUCUCUCUCUCUCCUCUCUCUCUCUCUCUCUCCCUCCCUCCCUCCCUCCCUCCCUCCCUCCACAGGCUCAUAUUAGUGUUACAGCUUGGCCUCAGUACAGAUCAAUGACUAGCACACAACGAUCCCAAAGUCUCUGACACCUCAAGUUCUACAACUUGACAAUCUCAAAAUUCUUUGCUCUCUCUAAUUUCUCCGCUCUGCUCUUAAAAAAAAAAAAUAAUCUCUCAGGACUAUGCUAUAUCUUACAAAUAUUUUGUCUUAAGAUUCGUAAAUUCGGACUGGAGAGAUGGCUCAGUGGUUAAGAGCACUGAUUGCUCUUCCAGAGGUCCCUGAGUUCAAUUCCCAGCAACCACAUGGUGGCUCACAACCAUCUGUAAUGCCCUCGUCUGAUAUGUCUGAAGACAGUAGCUACAGUGUACUCCUAUACAUACAAUAAAUAAAUUUUUUUAAAAAAACUUACAACAAAAGGCUUAUAAUUAAAACCUAAACAUAAGAAUUUUAAUUUGUCGCAACAUCUUAUAUAUGUGAUUUAAUACUAGUGUAGAAUAUACCAUAUAUGUAACAUAGAUUCAACUCUUGUUUAGGAAAAAUUGUAUUUGAAUAGCAACCAUGUAGUUCUCCUCCAUCUUGGUGAUAACCUUUACCAAGAUGUAAGCAACCAAAUGCUGGCAGCCAUUUGUGUCAUGUGACUUCACUGUCUUCAGAUGACCACAUGGUUUAAAACGAUUAUAUAUAAAACUUCUCAGGCCUACUGAGCCCCGCCUUUAUCGUUGAUCAUCUUUUCUAGACUGAGGAAAGAACAGCCCUAAACAGUCUCUAAAAUAUUUUGGAUUGGUAUGGAUUUUUGUCUGAUGACAAAAUUUAAGUUAUAGAGGUUUACUCAGAUUAACAAAAGCUGAUUUAAGAUAUAUGCCUUAACUAUUUAUGCCUUUGCUAGUUGUUCAACACCAGGCUUCUAGAGAAUUUAGAUAAGUCACAACAUACAUUUGAUAAAUAAGGGGUGCUCGCUUCGGCAGCACAUAUGCUAAAACUGGAACGAUAAAUAAGGUAUAUUUGAUAGUAAGGUUAUCAAUCUGUAAGGUCUACUUAGGUCCACAGUGGUAUCUAACUUUUUCAUCUUUGUUCACGGCAUUAAGCUUUAGCUAUUUGGAGAAACCAAGUCAUAUGAAAAAAAUCAUAAUAAUUCUAUUUGGAUGCUGAAGGUGAUCCAAUUAAAUCUUCAACUCCAACUAUUAAGACGCAAACCCAACAGGGAUAAAGCUCUAAAAUCCUAACCUUAUAUAAGCUACCAGCUUAUAAGCUAUUCAUUUAGUAACAAGCUUUAGUUAGCUCCCUGUAAGUAUACUUAAUAAAGAGGCGGCCCUCAAACACUUCAGAGAGCUUCUGAAUAUGGCAUUUAAAAUGCUCACGCUUCUGUGGGGCUGGAGGGAUGGCUCAGUGGCUAAGAGAACUGGCUGCUCUUCCGGAGGACCAGGAUUGAAUUCCAGCACCCACCGUGGUAGCUCAAAACUGUCUGUAGCUCCAAGAUCUGACACCCUCACCUAGAUAUACAUUCAGGAAGGACACCGAUGCACAUAAAAUAAGAAAUAAAUUAUUAAAAUGUUUAAGCUUCUGUGGAGAGCUUUCGGGGCUGCUUCUAGGAAUUUGGCAGGAAUUUGACAUUGGGCUAGGACAAGGAAGUAGGUUCAAGAUGAGUACAGCUGAGGACUGUGUUCUUUGUGUCCUGAUGGGUCUGGUUAAGACUCUGAAUACAGUAAUCACAGGACCUUUGUUUAUGCUUUGUUUGUUCCUUAACUACUCUGUUUAUGCCUUAGGACUGACCAUAUUCUUUGUAUGUAUCUAGAGUGAUAUAAAAGCAGACUGGAAAAAAAUUAAACACGCUUCAGCCUCAGCACUGGGCUGGAGGCAUGUUAUAAUGUUGUCUAAUUGUCUUUUUCUUUUCUCCCUCCUCCCUGGAUACUCUGUUGACUGACUGAGCUGGCUUGGUCAAACUUCCCCUAAUAGACAGAACUGCCUCCUAGCGGGAACCCCAUGGUCUCCAAAGAAGAUAUACGGAUAUACGAGGCACAAGGACUCCACCAGGAUUGUGGUAGUGCUAACCACUGGGAUAAACUGUUCCAUGCCUCAUCUGCUGUCAGUGCUCUUCUCAAACUGUGGGCGUUUUUUUUGGGUUGAUUGCCCUAUUUUGCCUGGUCAAAGUAAGGUCAGUUCUCCCAAGUUCCCCUUUAGGAAAAAAAAAUCUCUCAGAUCUGACAGCCAAAGGCCUAUGCUCCUCUGUAUGACAGCUAAAGAUUUGGCUAUGUGAUGGCCGAAGACUAACCACUGCCCCCAACGAAACUCUGAAGACCACUGGACCCCAAGGUAACCCGUCUCAUGUAAUGGGGAAGUCUCUGUCAUUCCAGGUAUAAUCUCUCCUCAGAUCUCUGAGGAUAUGGACUGACUGUAGCUUUAACAGCAACAAGCAUACCAGCUCCUCCCCCAAGGCUUCAGCUGCCUUCCCAGUUCUCUUCCUAGGUAAAGACCAGGCCUGAGGCCUCACUCACCUAGAGUUUCUGCUGUAGAGAUUCUGGGCCUUGCUACCAGGCUCCAAAAAGAGAUAAACUCACUAAAGAGGUUUCAAAGUAACUUUUUACCAUUCCUUUCUUUUUUUUUUUUUUUUUUUUUUUUUUUUUGGAGCUGGGGACCGAACCCAGGGCCUUGGGCUUGCUAGGCAAGUGCUCUACCGCUGAGCUAAAUCCCCAACCCCACCAUUCCUUUCUUUAAGGGGACUCUUUGCAAUAACUGCACUCCUGCAGUCACCCCUGGGUCCUCAUGGUAAACAACAGGAUGUAAAAGAAAAAGUGAUUCAAUCUUUAUUAAGACUUCAAAAGUUCAGAGUUUAAACAUUAAUCAGCGGAGUUCUGAUAAGCCAUCAAUCUAGCUCUGCUAAAGUACUUGUUAAUAGUAUCAUAGUCAAAUUUAAAAUGUUAGAUUUUCCUUUGGUCGUUUCCUAAGUACAGACUUAAAAAUGCUUCUCAGUUUGCCAAAGGCAUCUCUGUCCAGUCUAUAUACACAGCACUCUGGAGAGAGUGUUCAUGCUUCUAACCCAAAAUCAUUUUGGCAUUCCCACACUUUUACUUCCAUUCAGAGGCACGAGUCUACUGCUCUUUCCCACAGUGCAGAUUUCAGUACAUAUUACAAAAGUGGUGAUGCUAACAACAUCAGAACUUUUGUCUUUAUAAUCUUAAAAAAAAAAAAAUCUUGUAAGCUGCUGGACCCACCUCUCACAGGUCAAAUGGACCCCAAAUAAGUACUCGUGUCAAACAACAGCCUAAAUUUUAAUGCCCACUGCCUGUUCCUGAGGGUGGGAUCUUUCUCCCUUUUCCUGAUCUUGGAGCUCCCCUCUCCAGCUACCUUUGAGGACCCUGGGCCUCAAAGUUUCAAAUGUGCACCCAGGAUAAACUUUCCCUUCUUCUCCUAGUCUAUCUGUCCCAGUUGAUUCCAGAUCCGACUAGUCCCCAGCUCCGGGUGCUCCCCCACAACCCACAUCCCAAGCAGCUUCAAGGAGGCUAGCCCCAGGUAAUCCAGCCUCACAAACUACUCCACAAGGUCCUGCAGAGCCUGGGCAGCCACUUUUCCCAGUCUCAGCCAGCGCACCAGCUUCUUUAGCACACCCCCACCCCUGACGCCCCGCCCUGACAAUGAUGCUCCAAAGUCAGCAGGAAAUAGUAAGAGAGGAGAUUAUGUAUGUGUCCUCCCAUACCAUUCAUCAAUUAUCAACAAAAAGGCUUAGGUUUUUGUUUGUUUUUUUUUUAAUUAACAAACAAACAAAUAGGUCUCGGGUUGGGGAUUUAGCUCAGUGGUAGAGUGCUUGCCUAGCAAGCUCAAGGCCCUGGGUUCGGUCCCCAGCUCUGAAAAAAAAGAAAAAAAAAAAAAAGAAAGUAAAAAGAAAGUAAAAAAAGAAAUAGGUCUCAAACCUGGGACAAAUGGUGAAGGUGCCUACUAAAGGACCUGGCCUCCAGGUUCUCCCUGCAUCUCUUAGUCACUACCUGUUACAGGGCCCCUGACUAGUAUACCUCACCCGUCUAACCCUGAACUCUCCAGCCCAGGGCUCUGGGCUGUUCCUCCCUAUAAAAUCCACCUGUUUUGGUUACCUGAUUUUUUUUUAUUAAUUAAUUAUUAUUUUUUUUUUUUGUACCUUUGGGCCUCCUGACUGCUACACCUGGUUCCCUUCCCCUCCCUCUCCAUUCGCCUCCUUUCUGCCCCACCUCUCCCCUUCUUCUCUCCCCUCUCUUGUCCUCCCCACAUGACUCAGUUCAGUCUGGUUAUGUACACAGACCCUGGACUCUCCCAGAUGUCCCUGCCUCGGCCCAUACUCUUCCACCUGUCUAUAAUAAACCUUCCCCCACCAUAACUACGAACAGUCACA
ensembl:lncRNA